CUGCUUCUUCAGAGGAAGAUAUGAAGUUCCUCAAGCAGUCGAUAUUUGAGUAUGUAUCUUUUAUGGACAUGGACAUCGGUCAGGCUAGUGCUGCCAAACAUAAGGAUAAGCUUGAGCAUUUGAGUGCGAAGUUGGCGCAAGCACUGACACUUCCGUCGCUCAAUAUUUCUGCUGAUUUUAAAGCGACGUUGAAAGUUGUCCAUUCUGACAUCCUCUCUUUGCUGGCCAAAAAUGUUGAACUGAAGGCCAAGAGUACUCAAUAUCUUCGUGCUGCAUCUGAAAGAGAGUCUUUGCUUCUGGAGAUCAACAAAC
rnacentral:lncRNA from 1 species